rnacentral:rRNA from 1 species
UACGAAGGGGGCUAGCGUUGCUCGGAAUCACUGGGCGUAAAGGGCGCGUAGGCGGACUCUUAAGUCGGGGGUGAAAGCCCAGGGCUCAACCCUGGAAUUGCCUUCGAUACUGAGAGUCUUGAGUUCGGAAGAGGUUGGUGGAACUGCGAGUGUAGAGGUGAAAUUCGUAGAUAUUCGCAAGAACACCAGUGGCGAAGGCGGCCAACUGGUCCGAUACUGACGCUGAGGCGCGAAAGCGUGGGAGCAAACAGG